UUAUCAGACCUGCAAAGAGGAGGAGAGUGCUUUGUCUAGAGAUCGCGGAGUGCACGAAGGUGGGAUAGAGACCGGUGGCUUCGGGUAGGAGAGGGGGCGGCCACCUUGUGAGGGUGACGGUGUUGGCUUGUGCCAGGGUUAGAGCUGUGGGUUUACUCGUGUGGUUGCACUCUCCGGCCUAGCUCGGGUAGGGGAGGCGGUACCAGUUGCUGGGCGGCGGGUGCUACCGUGACUGCGGGGGGUUAAGGGGUACGGUUGCGCACGCUCUGCCACAGUAACCUAGCUACCGCGCGCACGAUAUACGCACACGCGCACGCGAACUUACGAUCCCGCCGCACGUCCUCGAGGGGGAAGAGGAGGGAAAAGGAGAGAGGGGGACGUGCGCCACCUCGAACUCGACCCGCCCUGCGACUCGCCCUCAAGAACCCCCGUCUCCUUCUUCUGCAAGUCCAUCUUCCGCACCUGCAACCCCUCAUCAACGCACCUUGCCACCUUCCUCCCACACUUGCCACCCUACCCGCGACCGACCGACCAUGAGCGAAAUACUAUACUUCUAUACAUACGACGACCAUGCAUGAGCACUUGUACCACUUUUCUCUAGCCACGACGUCGCCGUCCACAGACCACCGAUACGUCACCGUAGGCGAUGAAUCUGUGCAUCGGCUGUUGGCACUCUUCUGAAACUAGAACUAUAUAAUCUACUACUAUUUUUUCUUCUACUACUAAGUCAAUAGUUCUCCUACACACUUGAGACUUGGACUUCUUGUCCUUUAUUUUGUACUCCUUCUAUUACCUUCUCUUCUUCUUCGUCUGUAAUCCUAUUACUUUCUCUUACUCAUCUAUUACUCUUACCAUUACUUUCUCUUCUGCUCUACGUGGAACCGAUUCAUUUCUCGAUCUGGACUUUAACGGUUAUUUCCCUUACUCCAGGGAAAGAGAUAGCCACGGUAGAAUCGACGGCCGCUAAUCCACGUAUAAAGCGCUCUAUUAGAGCAAGAUUGUACAGAGACUAAAACUAAAAAAAGACGCCUAAAGUCUUAUAUCUUCCGUCGAAGCGUCUCCCCAGUGGCUGCUCGUUCUCUUUAUGACGACAUACAAGUACUUGUUAAAAGACAACGAGACUGACUUCCCUAACAGAAACAUUAAGAACAGACAAACCCACCACGGGUCGACGGUUAUCUUCUGUUCGACAGAAGAACGACUUGUUGCGGUGUUAACGUAUCAACAUACAAUAAAUCCUAACAGAGACAACGUAUGGUGGACCUCAAUGUUCUCCAGGCCAUGAUUAGAACACAUACAUAGACAAGACAUAUGUGGACUAAAGUUUCGUAGAUAAUAUCAUGUAAAACAAAGAAACGAGCCAUGUUCUACAUAACGUUCACAACAAGUAACAAAAGAAGGAAAAUACAUUUAUAUAUGAUGUCUGGGAGGUGUCCGAGUCAAAAGAAGGAAAACAGUCUUAUAUAGUCUGUAAAUACAUACUACAGGAUCGUCAACCUACUUUCGUUUUUUGGUGUCUUGAUUAUAACAA
rnacentral:rRNA from 1 species